UCUCUGAUCCACCUCUACCCCAUUGCGGACAUUGGACUUUGUCUGUGGAACUGAUGCGCUACAAUGCUGAGAACUAUAUUCUGCACUCUGUAUCUUCCCCUUUGCUCCACCUGUUGGACUGGAGUUUGACGAUUUGUGUGUGUGUAUAGUGUUA